UUUCUCCUACUCAUUUGUCCAUUUUCGUGAGACAGCUCAAUUAGGCGAACCUACACCCUACCGCAGCCGCACGGCUCUUCAGAGCAAACAACUCAUUUCGUAACUGUGUGUGUUUGUGUGAAAAGAGUCCAGAGACGAC
ensembl:ncRNA F48A11.8 ncRNA